rfam:Oryza punctata chromosome 10, whole genome shotgun sequence.
UUUAAGCAUAACCAUGAGUUUCCAUGUUUAAUUUUGAUUGUCUUAUUUAAAAUUUAUUUAUGAUUAGUAUUUUUAUUGUUAUUAGAUAAUAAAAUAUGGAUAGUACUUUGCGUGACUUAUGUUUUUUUAUUUUUUUCAAGUAAGACGACCGAUUAAAGUUGGUCACGGAAACUUAUGGCUACAUGUAGA